UUCUAAGAAAUCGCUAGUGUGACUGGAGAUCGCUCAUCCAAGAAAGCGCGAGUCGGGCACUAUUAGCGAAUUUAAAUAUUUGGCAUUGUAGCAUAUUCGAAAUGUAUUGGUGAAAAUAGGAUAUUUUUACCCUCAGCUUUAAUUGCAGCCGGUCGUUUUCACAGCUGACAAUCUUCGUCUGCAGGAUGUUUACUGACAAACAAGCUUCAGCUAUUUUUACAGUUUUAGUUAAAUGAUUCAACCGAACGCAGCGCUGCGUUUAACGAGAAAGGAUCUUGCUUUAAAUAAUUGCUUGUAGCAUUUGAUAAAAGUUCUGCAAUGGACUUUUCAGAUGAGGAGAAAUUAUGGCUGCUUAGAAUAUCUGCUGAGAUACCUGAAGGAAAUGAACUUGCUCCCAAGGAGAAGCGACUCUGGGAGAAAGCAAAGCCAGAGACUGAAUUUCAGGCCCAGUUCUUCCAGUUUAUGGCCGCCAUACAAUUUGGUCUAAAUGAUCCGACAAUAUCAACCAAAUUGAUGAAGAACCCAGUCCACCAGAGAAGCAGUGUCUCAUCACAAUGUGGAUAACCAAACACCAACAGGAUUUUCAUUUGCAUACAAAGUAUUGACAGUUUGACCAAUAGGUUAACAGUUGUGUCAUUCCACCAAAUUUUGGUAUUGGACUUUUUUAUUUAAAGUUGAUAACCACAUACUGGAAAGCCUUCAAACACCAACACAGAAAACGAUAUGUCAGAUAAAUUGAUGCUGUAAAUAAAAUAUCAUAUUGAAAUGUAUAGGAUAGGAUCUAAUUCUUUUAUUUAUAAACAAGGGGGACUUUUUUUUAGCACAAACCAGGACCUAACAGAACACUAUAUCACUCAGGACGCAUGAAAACAUGAAACUAUUGGCGUAUGUAUGAAAUGCAAGAUUCACGUGUUUGCCUGCCCAUAUAAUCAGAGUGAUAAAGGGUAAACGUAAUACUGAUUGUAAAUGUUUUUGGCAAUAAAUAAAUCAGUGU